UGGGGAAUAUUGGACAAUGGGGGAAACCCUGAUCCAGCAAUGCCGCGUGAAUGAUGAAGGCCUUAGGGUUGUAAAGUUCUUUCACCUGUGAAGAUAAUGACGGUAGCAGGAGAAGAAGCUCCGGCUAACUCCGUGCCAGCAGCCGCGGUAAGACGGAGGGAGCUAGCGUUGUUCGGAAUGACUGGGCGUAAAGGGCGCGUAGGCGGUUUUUUAAGUGAGGCGUGAAAGCCCUGGGCUUAACCCAGGAGGUGCGUUUCAUACUGGAAGACUUGAGUGCGAGAGAGGAAAGUGGAAUUCCUAGUGUAGAGGUGAAAUUCGUAGAUAUUAGGAAGAACACCAGAGGCGAAGGCGGCUUUCUGGCUCGCAACUGACGCUGAGGCGCGAAAGCGUGGGGAGCAAACAGG
rnacentral:rRNA from 1 species